rnacentral:lncRNA from 1 species
GGUCUGUACAGAGCCUGUGUCCGUGUGUCUGUGUGUGAGCGAGAGAUGGAAGGCUAGGGAGCUUUACGUAGAGUGGGGAGGGAGACCCUGGGCCAGCUUGGAUGACAGGUAGUGGACCAGGGGCCUGGGCCAGAGGGAGAGGUGAGUGGACCAGGGAAGAGAAAGCUUUGAAUUUUUCCUCUCCCAGUCCUGACCCCUGCUUAAGGGAGGAAGAGAGAGAGGCUGGUCUGCCCUUGAUGGUGGGCCUUUUGUGCCAAAAAUAAAUAAAUAAUGCCAGCAACCAAACCACGUCUCUGUUCUUCUGGGGGUCAGGGUAGGGACUAGAAGCAGGAGGAAAGGGUUGGGGGUGUGAAUAGGGGAGGGUGAGGUAUGGGGUCUCCAAGCCCCUCCCCCUGGGGUGCUCCAGCCUGGGACUAGUCAAGUCGGGGGCAACCUGUUAACCUGGCUUAGCUUCUCUCAUCCAGUUCGUUCCCAGGGUGCCCCUCUCUCCCUCUCACCCCGAGUAAGAACUGAGUGAGGCAAAUGUGCAAGAUUGAGACACGCGGGCCCCACCAGUCUCUGAGUGGGAAAGGCAAGUGCGAGAGAUAAAGGCCUCCAAGAGAAAAAGAAACAAACCAAAGAUUUAACCAUUUAAAAAAUAAAAAAAAUAUUAAAAAAAAAAAAAACCACAGACAACUCCGCUACCUUUUUAUACGUUGGGAAAAAAAAAAAGAAAAAAAAGUUAGAAUAAAAACUUAAAAAAAAAAGAACCAAAAAACAAACAAAAGAAAAAAACAAAAAAAAAAUAAGAAAACAAAAAACAAAAAAAGGAAACAGAAACAAAAAACCCAAAAAACUUCAAACCGCGGUUCUUUUGUGCGGUUUAAACUUUGACCUCAGCAGUCUCCAAAGCAAGACGAUGAUGACAAAGGCGAAAAAGAAAAAAAUAAUGUAUAUUUUUAAGUAUUUGUCUUUGGUGUUAGCUCCUUCCUAAAAAACACAAGGAGCAAAGGAAAAAAAAUCCAGAAGUGUUGCUGGGAUGGAGACAAUUACUUACUUUGUCUGUGAACCCCCCAUUCCUCUGCCCCCCUUCUCUAGCCCUGCUGCCCUUCCCCCAACCUGUCCUCCAAGGCUAGGGGCUCAAUAUUUAUUUAUUUAUGUAAUUGCAGGGUGAUAGUGGCUUCUCCUGAACAGAGGUCCUUUGGAUCAUAGCCGGGCAGGGGAGGGGGGCAGGCAUUUUUGGGGGUCUGGUCUUUUGAUCAGCUACCCUGGCUCCUGGUAUUAGCCCACCACAGCCACAAUCACCUCCCAAGGCCAAGGCCCUAGGGCAGAGUGAGCAGCUACCUUGUAAAGAUCUGAUGGCUCCACCCUUUGGUGAGGCUGUCCUCCACCAACUCACUUGAAUGCCCAGGUGGAGACAGGAAUGGGGAGCCAUGGUAAGUAGUGGGUCAGGGUGGGGGCCCUGGAGUGACCUGCCUUCCCUCCAGGCCCAUCGAGGUAGCUCCUCUUUUGGUUGUCAGACCCCUGUGUUGGCAGCCCCUCCUCUCCCCUCCCAGAUCCCUUCCCUGUCUCUUCUUGUGGUAGCGGGUUAGUGUUUCCGUGUUUUUAACUUCAAUCUGCUUGUUCAUUGUACAAUGUGCUUCUUUUAAGGCCCCGUUUUUGUAACUUGUGUCAUUCAUCUGAACCACAAACAUCAAAAAAAUAAAAAACUAAAAACUGUACAGAGAGAAA